rnacentral:lncRNA from 1 species
UGGGAUGUAGAUCGGCUUGAGCAAAUUUGGUGUCGGUGGGAAGAAAGCCUUAGGAGGAGUUAGCCACAUUCCAAUGUGUGCGAAUCUGCAAAAAAUGCGAAAUAGCCCUUUAACCGUACAUUUUACAGAUACGUGCCCAUUGACUUUUUCGUAGAUCUUAUGGAGAUACACGUGUGUGUCAAAUUUUGUGUCAUUUUGACAAAGCGUAUAGGCGUGACAGUCAAAAAUGUGUUUUUUCACCUUAGGGGACAAGAAAAAAUGGACUUUUUUCUCCUGCCAUGGGGGGCGUUCUUUUCGGGAGUAAAAAUUCCUUUACAAAUGUGUUGAUGGCUGUACAUUGCAUCAUCCUAGAAAACUUGGAGGCCAGUGAGGACAAAAAUAAAAAGUUAUAAGACUAUUAAGAAUGUGGAUUUUUGGGUUAUCUUUGGCGCCCCCUAGAACCUAAACCGUGGAGUGCAGCGUCAUGAUUUGUACAACUUUUAAUGGCCAUGGGGUGUAGAUUGGCCUGAGCAAAUUUGGUGGCGGUGGAACUAAAGCCUUCGGAGGAGUUAGCAAAAUUCCAAUGUGUGCGGAUCGGGAAAAAAUGCGAAAUAACCCUUUAACCGUACAUUUUACAGAUACGCCCGCACUGACUUUUUUGUAGAUCUUAUUGAGAAACAUAUGUGUGUCAAUUUUUGUGUCAAUAUGACAAAGCGUACAGGCGUGACAGUCAAUAGUGUGAAUUUACACCUUAGGGGGCGCUAUGGAGCUAUUUUGCAUUUUAUUGUUUGGGCGACUUCAGAAUAUCGAAUUUUUCACCAGGCCCGGUCGUCCUGCCAAAUUUUAUGAGUUUUCGCCAGUGGGAAGUGGGCCAUUUUCCAGUUCAAAGGGGAGGAAAAAGAAGAAAGAAAGAAACAAAGAAAAACCACUACAGGAACAACAGGGCUCUACGCCCGGCUGCUCUGCAGCUGGCUCGGGCCCUAAAAAGAAACAAAGAAAAACCACUACAGGAAUAAUAGGGCCUCGCAGCUGCUUAGCAGCUACGCACGGGCCCUAACAAACUAGGGCCCCGGUGGGGCACUGGCGGGCCCGAGCCGUGUCGCGCCGCCCCCAGCGCGACCGCCUCCCCCUCCCGAUCGCGUCACACUCAAGGUCCAAAGAUGGUGUGCGCACUUGUCUGUGGUCAUUUACCAUUAUAAUGAAUGGGAGGCGCAGUUUCUACCAAAAUGCUCGCUGCAGACAAACUCCAUGUCCUUUUUGAAAAAAGUCUGGACCAUGAGUGAGGGCACAAACACAGCUUCCAUAUAUCCAAAUGGCAAGUUGCUCCUCCUUUCGGUUUUGCCGAGAGAGCGAUGCGUUUGAGCCAUUGGGCGAAGGGCAGGAAAAACUUAACUUUUUAUCCUGCCAUGGGGGGGCGCUCUUUUGGGGAGAAAAAAUUCUUUCACAAAUGUGUUGAUGGCUGGACAUUGCAUCAUCCUAGAAAACUUGGAGGCCAGUGAGGACAAAAAUAAAAAGUUAUAAGACUUUUAAAUAUGUGGAUUUUAGGGUUAUCUUUGGCGCCCCCUAGAACCUAAACCGUGGGGUGCAGCGUCAUGAUUUGAAUAACUUUUAAUGGCCAUGGGGUGUAGAUUGGCCUGAGCAAAUGUGGUGCCAGUGGAACGAAAGCCUUAGGAGGAGUUAGCCACAUUCCAAUGUGUGCGGAUCGGCAAAAAAUGUGGAAUAACCCUUUAACCGUACAUUUGACAGAUACGCGCGCAUUGACUUUUUCGUAGAUCUAAUUGAGAUACACAUGAUUGUCAAUUUUUGUGUCAUUUUGCCAAAGCGUACAGGCGUGACAGUCAACAAUGUGUAUUUUCACCUUAGGGGACAAGAAAAAAUGGACUUUUUUCUCCUGCCAUGGGGGGGCGCUCUUUUGGGGAGUAAAAAUUCCUUCACAAAUGUGUUGAUGGCUGGACAUUGCAUCAUCCUAGAAAACUUGGAGGCCAAUGAGGACAAAAAUAAAAAGUUAUAAGAUUUUUAAGAAUGUGGAUUUGUGGGUUAUCUUUGGCGCCCCCUAGAACGUAAACCAUGGGGUGCAGCGUCAUGAUUUGUACAACUUUCAAUGGCCAUGGGGUGUAGAUUGGCCUGAGCAAAUGUAGUGCUGGUGGAACAAAAGCCUUCGGAGGAGUUAGCGAAAUUCCAAUGUGUGCGGAACGGCAAAAAAUGCGAAAUAACCCUUUAACCGUACAUUUGACAGAUACGCCCGCACUGACUUUUUUGUAGAUCUUAUUGAGAUACAUGUGUGUGUCAAUUUUUGUGUCAAUAUGACAAAGCGUACAGGCGUGACAGUCAAUAGUGUGAAUUUUCACCUUUGGGGGCGCUAUUGAGCCAUUUUGCAUUUUAUUGUUUGGGAGACUUCAGAAUAUCGAAUUUUUCACCAGGCCCGGUCGUCCUGCCAAUUUUCAUGAGUUUUCGCCAGUGGGAAGUGGGCCAUUUUCCAGUUUAAAGCGGAGGAAAAAUAAUAACUAGGGCCCCGGUGGGGCACUGUCGGGCCCGAGCCGCGUCGCGCCGCCCCCAGCGCGACCGCCUCCCCCUCCCGAUCGCAUCACACUCAAGGUCCAAAGAUGGUGUGCGCACUUGUCUGUGGUCAUUUCCCAUUAUAAUGAAUGGGAGGCGCAGUUUCUACCAAAACGGUCGCUGCAGACAAACUACAUGUCCUAUUUGAAAAAAGUCUGGACCAUGAGUGAGGGCACAAACACAGCUAGGAUAUAUCCAAAUGGCAAGUUGCUCCUCCUUACGGUGUUGCCAGGAGAGCGAUGCGAUUGAGCCAUUGAGCGAUGGGCAGGGUUAACUGGACUUUUUCUCCUGCCUUGGGGGGGGGGGGAUGUGGAUUCUUUUAAGAAUGUGGAUAUUUGGGUCAUCUUUGGCGCCCCCUAGAACGUAAACCAUGGGGUGCAGCGGCAUGAUUUUUACAACUUUGAAUGGCCAUGGGAUGUAGAUCGGCUUGAGCAAAUUUGGUGUCGGUGGGAAGAAAGCCUUAGGAGGAGUUAGCCACAUUCCAAUGUGUGCGAA